CGUUAAGUUGUCAAACUGACAAACUGCUGCAAUAUAAUUUAUCGGUCCCCGGAAAACAGACAAAAGUUCUAUGAAAAACUUCUGGUAUACGCGAAAAAUUAGUGAAUCUUAAAGUUUCAGUCAUUUAGGAGUGGAAAUGGAUGGAAUUCCAAUUGAACUUAAUGAGCUGAGCAAGGCAGAAUUCCGGCGAUUUCAGCUGAAAAGUGAAAAUUUCGGAGCUGAUAAGGCAGUGGGCGGCGCAAACGCAACCUGCCUGAUCAAAUGUCCGGGAAUAUCAUUCGAAUUUUGAAAUAAAAAAAUAUAUGAUCA